AACGAACGCUGGCGGCAUGCCUAACACAUGCAAGUCGAACGAGACCUUCGGGUCUAGUGGCGCACGGGUGCGUAACGCGUGGGAACCUGCCCUUAGGUUCGGAAUAACUCCCCGAAAGGGGUGCUAAUACCGGAUAAUGUCUUCGGACCAAAGAUUUAUCGCCUUUGGAUGGGCCCGCGUUGGAUUAGCUAGUUGGUAGGGUAAAAGCCUACCAAGGCGACGACCCAUAGCUGGUCUGAGAGGAUGAUCAGCCACACUGGGACUGAGACACGGCCCAGACUCCUACGGGAGGCAGCAGUGGGGAAUAUUGGACAAUGGGCGAAAGCCUGAUCCAGCAAUGCCGCGUGAGUGAUGAAGGCCUUAGGGUUGUAAAGCUCUUUUACCCGGGAUGAUAAUGACAGUACCGGGAGAAUAAGCUCCGGCUAACUCCGCG
rnacentral:rRNA from 1 species